CAGGACGAACGCUGGCGGCGUGCUUAACACAUGCAAGUCGAGCGAUGAAGCUCUUCGGAAGUGGAUAGCGGCGGACGGGUGAGUAACACGUGGGUAACCUGCCUCAUAGAGGGGAAUAGCCUUCCGAAAGGAAGAUUAAUACCGCAUAAGAUUGUAAUAUCGCAUGAUAUAGCAAUUAAAGGAGUAAUCCGCUAUGAGAUGGACCCGCGUCGCAUUAGCUAGUUGGUGAGGUAACGGCUCACCAAGGCGACGAUGCGUAGCCGACCUGAGAGGGUGAUCGGCCACAUUGGGACUGAGACACGGCCCAGACUCCUACGGGAGGCAGCAGUGGGGAAUAUUGCACAAUGGGGGAAACCCUGAUGCAGCAAACCGCCGCGUGAGUGAUGACGGUCUUCGGAUUGUAAAGCUCUGUCUUCAGGGACGAUAAUGACGGUACCUGAGGAGGAAGCCACGGCUAACUACGUGCCAGCAGCUGC
rnacentral:rRNA from 1 species